rnacentral:rRNA from 1 species
UGGGGAAUAUUGCACAAUGGGCGCAAGCCUGAUGCAGCCAUGCCGCGUGUAUGAUGAAGGCCUUCGGGUUGUAAAGUACUUUCAGCGGGGAGGAAGGGAGUAAAGUUAAUACCUUUGCUCAUUGACGUUACCCGCAGAAGAAGCACCGGCUAACUCCGUGCCAGCAGCCGCGGUAAUACGGAGGGUGCAAGCGUUAAUCGGAAUUACUGGGCGUAAAGCGCACGCAGGCGGUUUGUUAAGUCAGAUGUGAAAUCCCCGGGCUCAACCUGGGAACUGCAUCUGAUACUGGCAAGCUUGAGUCUCGUAGAGGGGGGUAGAAUUCCAGGUGUAGCGGUGAAAUGCGUAGAGAUCUGGAGGAAUACCGGUGGCGAAGGCGGCCCCCUGGACGAAGACUGACGCUCAGGUGCGAAAGCGUGGGGAGCAAACAGG